AGAAGGGGCAUAAGGACAGACAGCACAGGGAACAACAUGCAGAUUAAACAGUGGUUAUUUUUGAUGUCUGUAACCAUCGCAUCAGGGCUCCAUGCAGGCAGGUCAUUGCUUUUCCAUCCAUGGUACCCACCGCUGGACAAAUGACGGACAAUCUUCAACGGUAUAUUUUUGACUGGAGUUGAACAUCUGGACAAAAGUUUUUUGUACUCCAUGAUGGAAAGAUGUUUCCAACCUUGUUUCCUUCUGCAGGAGAUUAGACCAUUGUCCAGCAGAAACUCUACACCCUCUAAACAGUCUCUGAGUCUCUGGACAAUCAGGCUCCUCAGAGUUGUUCCCUCGAUCCUCGCUCCUCAGUGCUGAGACUUGAGACGUCCUUCAACAUGGUGGAAUGGAACGACGCCUCUUUGAAGCGAGGAUCCAGGAGUGAGGAAUCGAUAAUAAGACACAUGAGGA